rnacentral:rRNA from 1 species
AACGAACGCUGGCGGCGUGCUUAACACAUGCAAGUCGAACGCGAAAGGGACUUCGGUCCUGAGUAAAGUGGCGCACGGGUGAGUAACGCGUAGAUAACCUGUCUUCAUGUCUAGGAAUAAUACGCCGAAAGGGGUACUAAUACCGGAUAUUCUUGCUUUUCAUAAGUUAUGCAAGCAAAGGUGGCCUCUGCAUAUGCUACUGCAUGAAGAGGGGUCUGCGUACCAUUAGCUAGUAGGUGGGGUAAUGGCCUACCUAGGCGACGAUGGUUAGCGGGUCUGAGAGGAUGAUCCGCCACACUGGCACUGGAACACGGGCCAGACUCCUACGGGAGGCAGCAGUGAGGAAUAUUGCGCAAUGGGGGAAACCCUGACGCAGCGACGCCGCGUGAGUGAGGAAAAGGCCUUCGGGUCGUAAAGCUCUGUCAAGAGGAAAGAAGUGUACAAUGGCUAAUACCUGUUGUAUUUGACGGUACCUCUAAAGGAAGCACCGGCUAACUCCGUGCCAGCAGCUGC